rnacentral:misc_RNA from 1 species
GAUGAAGAACGCAGUGAAAUGCGAUAAUUAAUGUGAAUUGCAGAAUUCAGUGAAUCAUCGAGUCUUUGAACGCACAUUGCGCCCCCUGGUAUUCCGGGGGGCAUGCCUGUCCGAGCGUCAUUGCUGCCCUCAAGUACGGCUUGUGUGUUGGGCUUCCGUCCCUGGCAACGGGGACGGGCCCAAAAGGCAGUGGCGGCACCAUGUCUGGUCCUCGAGCGUAUGGGGCUUUGUCACCCGCUCCCGUAGGUCCAGCUGGCAGCUAGCCUCGCAACCAAUCUUUUUAACCAGGUUGACCUCGGAUCAGGUAGGGAUACCCGCUGAACUUAAGCAUAUCAAUAAGCGGAGGA